GGUCAACACGAAUACCAUGCUGGGCCGCCGAAAAUGAAAGUAAACUUGUGCGGAUACCCCGUGGGCAAGAUAGCCUUGAUCUACCAUUACCUGAUGGUGUCACGCAUGUAACUGCUGAAGCUGCAACUGAGCUUUUGGACCUAAUUGCUGGGUUGAAUGCUGUACUAUUUUCAACUGCAUGGCAAGCAAGCAUAGAGAUCAGGCGCCUACGGCAAGAGAAUGAGAUAUUGAAGAACACCUCAGGAACAACCAUUGCAAGUUCGGGUCUUGUUCAACAUGUCUUAGAUGAUGAUGCAGAACAUGAGUGUCGCACAAAAUUUAAACAUGACAUAAGUAGAAAAGGAAAGACCAAACUUGUGAUACAAGAAGAGCAUGAAGAAG